rnacentral:rRNA from 1 species
ACGAUGUCUAGGGGUUCUGAGAGGAUGAUCCCCCCACACUGGUACUGAGACACGGACCAGACUCCUACGGGAGGCAGCAGUGAGGAAUAUUGGGCAAUGGACGCAAGUCUGACCCAGCCAUGCCGCGUGCAUGAUGACGGNCCUACGGGUUGUAAACUGCUUUUGUACGAGAAGAAUUCUCUUGACGUGUCAGGGGUUGACGGUAUCGUACGAAUAAGCAUCGGCUAACUCCGUGCCAGCAGCCGCGGUAAUACGGAGGAUGCAAGCGUUAUCCGGAUUUAUUGGGUUUAAAGGGUGCGUAGGCGGGAUAUUAAGUCAGUGGUGAAAUCCUGCAGCUUAACUGUAGAACUGCCAUUGAUACUGAUAUUCUUGAGUAUAGUUGAAGUGGGCGGAAUGUGUAAUGUAGCGGUGAAAUGCUUAGAUAUUACACAGAACACCGAUUGCGUAGGCAGCUCGCUAAACUAAUACUGACGCUGAGGCACGAAAGCGUGGGGAGCGAACAGGAUUAGAUACCCUGGUAGUCCACGCUGUAAACUAUGAUCACUCGUUGUUGGCAAUACACAGUCAGCGACUGAGCGAAAGCAUUAAGUGAUUCACCUGGGGAGUACGGCCGCAAGGUUGAAACUCAAAGGAAUUGACGGGGGCCCGCACAAGCGGAGGAACAUGUGGUUUAAUUCGAUGAUACGCGAGGAACCUUACCUGGGCUUAAAUGCAGAACGACGUCCGCCGAAAGGCAGAUUCCCUUCGGGGCGGACUGCAAGGUGCUGCAUGGUUGUCGUCAGCUCGUGCCGUGAGGUGUCGGGUUAAGUCCCAUAACGAGCGCAACCCUUAUUGUUAGUUGCCAGCGGGUAAUGCCGGGGACUCUAACGAAACUGCCGGUGUAAACCGAGAGGAAGGUGGGGAUGACGUCAAAUCAGCACGGCCCUUACGUCCAGGGCUACACACGUGUUACAAUGGCCGGUACAAAGGGCAGCUACCUGGUAACAGGAUGCUAAUCUCGAAAGCCGGUCUCAGUUCGGAUUGAAGUCUGCAACUCGACCUCAUGAAGUUGGAUUCGCUAGUAAUCGCGCAUCAGCCACGGCGCGGUGAAUACGUUCCCGGGCAUUGUACACACCGCCCGUCAAGCCAUGGAAGCCGGGGGUACAUGAAGUCCGUAACCGAAAGGAGCGG